UGACUUAUGAUGAAUUGUGUUUCCUGAGCACCAUGAGGUGAUGGUCAAUUGAAUAUUCUAAAGUCC